rnacentral:rRNA from 1 species
UGUGAGCUCGAUGAGUAGGGCGGGACACGUGGUAUCCUGUCUGAAUAUGGGGGGACCAUCCUCCAAGGCUAAAUACUCCUGACUGACCGAUAGUGAACCAGUACCGUGAGGGAAAGGCGAAAAGAACCCCGGCGAGGGGAGUGAAAAAGAACCUGAAACCGUGUACGUACAAGCAGUGGGAGCACGCUUAGGCGUGUGACUGCGUACCUUUUGUAUAAUGGGUCAGCGACUUAUAUUCUGUAGCAAGGUUAACCGAAUAGGGGAGCCGAAGGGAAACCGAGUCUUAACUGGGCGUUAAGUUGCAGGGUAUAGACCCGAAACCCGGUGAUCUAGCCAUGGGCAGGUUGAAGGUUGGGUAACACUAACUGGAGGACCGAACCGACUAAUGUUGAAAAAUUAGCGGAUGACUUGUGGCUGGGGGUGAAAGGCCAAUCAAACCGGGAGAUAGCUGGUUCUCCCCGAAAGCUAUUUAGGUAGCGCCUCGUGAAUUCAUCUCCGGGGGUAGAGCACUGUUUCGGCAAGGGGGUCAUCCCGACUUACCAACCCGAUGCAAACUGCGAAUACCGGAGAAUGUUAUCACGGGAGACACACGGCGGGUGCUAACGUCCGUCGUGAAGAGGGAAACAACCCAGACCGCCAGCUAAGGUCCCAAAGUCAUGGUUAAGUGGGAAACGAUGUGGGAAGGCCCAGACAGCCAGGAUGUUGGCUUAGAAGCAGCCAUCAUUUAAAGAAAGCGUAAUAGCUCACUGGUCGAGUCGGCCUGCGCGGAAGAUGUAACGGGGCUAAACCAUGCACCGAAGCUGCGGCAGCGACGCUUAUGCGUUGUUGGGUAGGGGAGCGUUCUGUAAGCCUGCGAAGGUGUGCUGUGAGGCAUGCUGGAGGUAUCAGAAGUGCGAAUGCUGACAUAAGUAACGAUAAAGCGGGUGAAAAGCCCGCUCGCCGGAAGACCAAGGGUUCCUGUCCAACGUUAAUCGGGGCAGGGUGAGUCGACCCCUAAGGCGAGGCCGAAAGGCGUAGUCGAUGGGAAACAGGUUAAUAUUCCUGUACUUGGUGUUACUGCGAAGGGGGGACGGAGAAGGCUAUGUUGGCCGGGCGACGGUUGUCCCGGUUUAAGCGUGUAGGCUGGUUUUCCAGGCAAAUCCGGAAAAUCAAGGCUGAGGCGUGAUGACGAGGCACUACGGUGCUGAAGCAACAAAUGCCCUGCUUCCAGGAAAAGCCUCUAAGCAUCAGGUAACAUCAAAUCGUACCCCAAACCGACACAGGUGGUCAGGUAGAGAAUACCAAGGCGCUUGAGAGAACUCGGGUGAAGGAACUAGGCAAAAUGGUGCCGUAACUUCGGGAGAAGGCACGCUGAUAUGUAGGUGAAGCGACUUGCUCGUGGAGCUGAAAUCAGUCGAAGAUACCAGCUGGCUGCAACUGUUUAUUAAAAACACAGCACUGUGCAAACACGAAAGUGGACGUAUACGGUGUGACGCCUGCCCGGUGCCGGAAGGUUAAUUGAUGGGGUUAGCGCAAGCGAAGCUCUUGAUCGAAGCCCCGGUAAACGGCGGCCGUAACUAUAACGGUCCUAAGGUAGCGAAAUUCCUUGUCGGGUAAGUUCCGACCUGCACGAAUGGCGUAAUGAUGGCCAGGCUGUCUCCACCCGAGACUCAGUGAAAUUGAACUCGCUGUGAAGAUGCAGUGUACCCGCGGCAAGACGGAAAGACCCCGUGAACCUUUACUAUAGCUUGACACUGAACAUUGAGCCUUGAUGUGUAGGAUAGGUGGGAGGCUUUGAAGUGUGGACGCCAGUCUGCAUGGAGCCGACCUUGAAAUACCACCCUUUAAUGUUUGAUGUUCUAACGUGGACCCGUAAUCCGGGUUGCGGACAGUGUCUGGUGGGUAGUUUGACUGGGGCGGUCUCCUCCUAAAGAGUAACGGAGGAGCACGAAGGUUGGCUAAUCCUGGUCGGACAUCAGGAGGUUAGUGCAAUGGCAUAAGCCAGCUUGACUGCGAGCGUGACGGCGCGAGCAGGUGCGAAAGCAGGUCAUAGUGAUCCGGUGGUUCUGAAUGGAAGGGCCAUCGCUCAACGGAUAAAAGGUACUCCGGGGAUAACAGGCUGAUACCGCCCAAGAGUUCAUAUCGACGGCGGUGUUUGGCACCUCGAUGUCGGCUCAUCACAUCCUGGGGCUGAAGUAGGUCCCAAGGGUAUGGCUGUUCGCCAUUUAAAGUGGUACGCGAGCUGGGUUUAGAACGUCGUGAGACAGUUCGGUCCCUAUCUGCCGUGGGCGCUGGAGAACUGAGGGGGGCUGCUCCUAGUACGAGAGGACCGGAGUGGACGCAUCACUGGUGUUCGGGUUGUCAUGCCAAUGGCACUGCCCGGUAGCUAAAUGCGGAAGAGAUAAGUGCUGAAAGCAUCUAAGCACGAAACUUGCCCCGAGAUGAGUUCUCCCUGACUCCUUGAGAGUCCUGAAGGAACGUUGAAGACGACGACGUUGAUAGGCCGGGUGUGUAAGCGCAGCGAUGCGUUGAGCUAACCGGUACUAAUGAACCGUGAGGCUUAACCUU